GCAUAACGCGAAGAACCUUACCAGGCCUUGACAUGCAGAGAACUUUCCAGAGAUGGACUGGUGCCUUCGGGAACUCUGGCACAGGUGCUGCAUGGCCGUCGUCAGCUCGUGUCGUGAGAUGUUGGGUUAAGUCCCGCAACGAGCGCAGCCCUUGUGAACAGUUGCCAGCGCGUGAAGGCGGGAACUCUGUUCAGACUGCCCAGAUCAACUGGGAGGAAGGUGGGGACGACGUCAGGGUCAGUAUGGCCCUUACGCCCAGGGCUGCACACGUACUACAAUGCCCAGCACAAUGAGAGCCGAGACCGCGAGGUGGAGGAAAUCUAAAAAACUGGGCCCAGUUCGGAUUGGAGGCUGCAACUCGCCUCCAUGAAGUUGGAAUCGCUAGUAAUGGCGCAUCAUCUACGGCGCCGUGAAUACGUUCCCGGGUCUUGUACACACCGAGUCGUGGGGAGGGGCAAGGGGCACACAGGGGGGGGA
rnacentral:rRNA from 1 species